GACGAACGCUGGCGGCGUGCUUAACACAUGCAAGUCGAACGGAAAGGCCCUGCUUUUGUGGGGUGCUCGAGUGGCGGACGGGUGAGUAACACGUGAGUAACCUGCCCUUGACUUUGGGAUAACUUCAGGAAACUGGGGCUAAUACCGGAUAGGAGCUCCUGCUGCAUGGUGGGGGUUGGAAAGUUUCGGCGGUUGGGGAUGGACUCGCGGCUUAUCAGCUUGUUGGUGGGGUAGUGGCUUACCAAGGCUUUGACGGGUAGCCGGCCUGAGAGGGUGACCGGCCACAUUGGGACUGAGAUACGGCCCAGACUCCUACGGGAGGAAGCAGUGGGGAAUAUUGCACAAUGGGCGGAAGCCUGAUGCAGCAACGCCGCGUGAGGGAUGACGGCCUUCGGGUUGUAAACCGCUUUCGCCUGUGACGAAGCGUGAGUGACGGUAAUGGGUAAAGAAGCACCGGCUAACUACGUG
rnacentral:rRNA from 1 species